CACGUAGGGCGCAAGCGUUGCCCGGAAUUAUUGGGCGUAAAGAGCUCGUAGGCGGUCUGUUACGUCUGCUGUGAAAACCCGGGGCUUAACCCUGGGCUUGCAGUGGAUACGGGCAGACUAGAGGCAGGUAGGGGAGAAUGGAAUUCCCGGUGUAGCGGUGAAAUGCGCAGAUAUCGGGAAGAACACCCGUGGCGAAGGCGGUUCUCUGGGACGGUACUGACGCUGAGACGCGAAAGCGUGGGGAGCGAACAGG
rnacentral:rRNA from 1 species